UACGGAGGGUGCGAGCGUUUGUCCGGAUUUAUUGGGUUUAAAGGGUGCGUAGGUGGCUGGGUAAGUCAGGUGUGAAAUCUCGGAGCUCAACUCCGAAACUGCACUUGAUACUGCCUGGCUCGAGUACUGGAGAGGAGAUUGGAAUUUACGGUGUAGCAGUGAAAUGCGUAGAUAUCGUAAGGAAGACCAGUGGCGAAGGCGAAUCUCUGGACAGUUACUGACACUGAGGCACGAAGGCCAGGGGAGCAAACGGG
rnacentral:rRNA from 1 species